ACGUACACUCCUACGGGAGGCAGCAGUGGGGAAUUUUGGACAAUGGGCGAAAGCCUGAUCCAGCCAUGCCGCGUGCAGGAUGAAGGCCUUCGGGUUGUAAACUGCUUUUGUACGGAACGAAACGGCCUUUUCUAAUAAAGAGGGCUAAUGACGGUACCGUAAGAAUAAGCACCGGCUAACUACGUGCCAGCAGCCGCGGUAAUACGUAGGGUGCAAGCGUUAAUCGGAAUUACUGGGCGUAAAGCGUGCGCAGGCGGUUAUGUAAGACAGUUGUGAAAUCCCCGGGCUCAACCGGGGAACGGCAUCGGUGACUGCAUAGCUAGAGUACGGUAGAGGGGGAUGGAAUUCCGCGUGUAGCAGUGAAAUGCGUAGAUAUGCGGAGGAACACCGAUGGCGAAGGCAAUCCCCUGGACCUGUACUGACGCUCAUGCACGAAAGCGUGGGGAGCAAACAGGAUUAGAAACCCGAGUAGUCCCAUGA
rnacentral:rRNA from 1 species